GGGGAAUAUUGGACAAUGGGGGAAACCCUGAUCCAGCAAUACCACGUGUGUGAUGAAGGCCUUCGGGUUGUAAAGCACUUUAGGAGGGGAAGAAGAAGCUUGUGCUAAUAACACAAGUCUUUUGACGGUACCCUCAGAAUAAGCACCGGCUAACUCUGUGCCAGCAGCCGCGGUGAGACAGAGGGUGCGAGCGUUAAUCGGAAUAAUUGGGCGUAAAGGGCGCGUAGGUGGUAAUUUAGGUUUGGUGUGAAAGCUCUCGGCUUAACCGAGAAAGUGCAUCAAAUACCGGGUUACUAGAGUGAGAGAGAGGAUUGUGGAACUUUCGGUGUAGCGGUGAAAUGUGUAGAUAUCGAAAGGAACAUCAGUGGCGAAGGCGACAAUCUGGCUCUAAACUGACACUGAGGCGCGAAGGCAUGGGGAGCAAAC
rnacentral:rRNA from 1 species